GGCCUGGUGGUGUAGCGGCAACAUGUCCUUUACAAAUGACUAGCGAAAAAUUUCACAUAGGAAGACCCCUGUUCAAUUCAGGGCUAGGCCA